CUAACCGACCAAGGAAGGGCGAGGGCGUCCCCAAAGGGUGUGGGUUUGUGAUUGGGGUG
rnacentral:rRNA from 1 species